GAUAACUUUGGUAAUGAAGUCUACCCAGAAGAUGGAAACCAUCCAAGAAGUUUACUUACAAUAAGGUUUGGAGCACUCUUGCUGAAACCUGAUUUGAAAACUUCACAACGCCAGCAUUUUUCUUCGCAUUCUAAUUUGUUUAUUAAAUCAUUCUUAAUGCAUGAAAGGUGUAA